rnacentral:ncRNA from 1 species
UAUCAUGAGAGAUGAGUAUCAAUGGUGAGCUGGUAACAGAGAGUCGUCAAGUGCUGAAAGAUGACCCAGCAAGCGUUGAGAAGAUGGUCUUUCCUAAUGAACGAUUGGUGAGCAGUGAUGUUAAGUGGUCGCGGUUAAUGCCCGUUAGAGCAGCAGUUAGUUCUGCAUGAGUUGGUGUCCAAAUGGGUGCUAUUAAGGUGGUACCGCGGCGAAAGUCGUCCUUGUU